GUGUGCUAGAUGGGGAGCUAGCGGUGCCCUGUAACCCGGAAUCCGCUAUACCGGGAUCGAAUUCCCACCUGCGGCUUGGUCUGUUUCCGUGUGGAAGGGAUAAGCGGCGUUGAUGGUUGGGUCCUGUACAAUACCGGCCCACUGAACCCCGCCAGGACCGGAAGGUAGCAACGGUAGGUGUUUGUUGGUAUGUGUUGCGGGGUUGCCUGAUUGGAGCUGGCUGUUCCGGAAGCCGAAAGCAGGCGGGUCAACGGUGGGUGCGCAC
rnacentral:SRP_RNA from 1 species